CCUCCGGGGUGGUAAAGAGGGCCCUGCCUAGACAAGCACAAUGGUGCACCCCUAUCCUCCCAGCACACUGGGAGGCUGAGGCAGGAGGAUCACAAACUCGAGCUCAGCCUUGGCAAUUCACUGACUUAGUGAGACUCUGUCUCAAAAUAAAAAACCUUGGAUGAGAAAACAGCAGCACUAAAUCACAGUGUUUUCCAAACGCCCGCUGGGGAGGGAUCGUGCAUUUGGAAGAACCCCGCCCUUUGUGCCAGGCUCCAUCCAGGUCAACCUCUGCCAGAAGGCUGGCUCACUACCUCCCGGCCAGGCCACGUCACAGCCGGAUGAGGAAACACUGCAGGACAACGAGAAAAAAAGGUGGACGGAAAAGACAACAACCAAGGCAGCUGACAACCUGGGUAGGAAGGGUCUGUGACCUCCAGUUUCACCCGCCAAGCAAGCCUGGACUGGCGUCCCACAGCGGUACCCUGGAGCCCAGGGCACAGAGAGGCAGUUCUAGGGAUGGAACCCAACACCUCCCCCAGGCUAGGGUCUCGCUAUGUACUGCAAGAACUCACUAUGAAGCCCAG